CCAUGCAGGGAGCCCGAUGUGGGAUUCGAUCCUGGGUCUCCAGGAUCGCGCCCUGGGCCAAAAGCAGGCGCCAAACCGCUGCGCCACCCAGGGAUCCCCCAUCCAUUUUUUUAUACAUUUAUGUAUUCGUUCAAGGCACUAGAUAUUGAGUACCUCUUGUGGUCAUCACCGUGCCUUCUGGAAAGUUAAGAUCUAGCAAUGGAAUUAUGAUGAAGAAAUAACCAUGAAAAUGCCACUCUUUUGGUGUAUUUUUAUUGGACCCUAAUUUUAUUCCGUUUUUUUUUUUUUGUUUCAAAAACAAAAACAGUUAUACUGUCUAUUCCAUCUUAGCUGCUUUAUUUUACUUUUUAAUUUACAGCACAGUGGGAAUGACAAGAGAGAUACAAAACUUUUUAUUCCAUCUUCUUGCCCGUCAGGAAUAAGAUUCUGUUAUUUUUAACCUGAGUCUGUGGUUCACAUAGCAGGCCCUGUUCUUUCUGCCUCACGGAGCCUGUCCUAGCUACACUGUUUGCCCACUUCCCCCUCCCCCCCCCCGGGGCAUCAGCUGUGGGUAGAUGGGUGCCCCUUACUGCCCGUGGCCUUCAGUAAGGGUGCCCGUGGGGCUCACUCUUACCAGACUGGAGCCUGGGGCAGAAUAGGCAUCAGGCUGGGAGGCAGAGCAGCCCUGCUCCAGCUACUUCAGUUCCUUAUAACUCAGCAAGUGGAUGACACAAAUGACAGAGGCCUCAUGCCUGAAGCUGUAAGACAGUGAUCCUAUGCAUGUUUCCUUAUCUCCUGACUCGACUCUCCUUCCUUCCUUCCUUCCAUCCCUCCCUCCCUUCCAUCCACAGUCUUGUUCUUUUACCUCUCCUCCCAGAUUUUCACAAAAGACUGCUAGAUUUUUUUUUUUUUCUGAAAUGCCACUUCUCCCCAUGGAAGAAGUGAAGACCUAGUUCAUUUGAUCCCUUGUUGUGUCUUAAAAUUUCAUAGCCUCAGGUAUCCAUUUGAGGUCUGUAGCUAAAGCUACAGUGGGCCCUUGCCUAGUUUCAGCUCUUCUUGUAGUUACAAUCGUAUUUUAAUAUAACUAAAUCACAUCCCAGUAUUUUUUGUUUUACAAUUUCGUGGUUUUUAGCGUAUUCACCUAGUUGUGCAACCAUCACCACAGUCUAACUUCAUAACAUUUUCAUCACCCCAGAAAGAAACCACACACCCAUUAACAGUCACUCCUUAUUUCCCCGACUCUCCUGCCAGCCCUAGUUAACCAUUAAUCUACUUUCCAUCUCUGUGGAUGUCAUUCCUGCCAUUCACAAAGGGAGAUGGGGGAGCUCUGGUACAGAUGCAGAUGGGGAGAAGAGGAGUUCUGGUUUGGAGUGAGCUUCCACUUCUAUCUCUGCUUACCCGCCAUCCCCAAAAUUUGAGGUUAAAUUUCUUGCACCUUUGAAGAUGUUUUUCCAAAGAUUUUCAUCGGGUCUCCAAAACAAUCGUAUAUAAUAUGUGUGAACACAAAUAUAUUCCUAGAUUUUAAUUGUAUUCCAGAACUUUAAUCUUGAGUCCUCCUAGUGCAUACACACACAUACCUGGCCCUGAAUUAUAUUUCAGAGCCAUCUCUUCUAACCAGGCAGUGAAGGGCAUCCUGCCUCAAACACUGUCCCCUAAUUUCCUGAUUCCUAGGUUUUUCAAAGCAGGUGAGAUAUAUAAAAUAUUUGGUAACAGUAAAGAGUGGGAACCAGUAGAAUGAACCAUGGGGAAAGACUUGGGCAUUACACCCAUCUCUGCCAUGUGUACAACCAGAAUUGACCGUGGAGAGACAAAGAGGAGGAGCAGGUCAGUAUGAGAAGACUCUUUCACAGUUGCCUUUUCCAGCUAGAGCAUCUCAGCCAACCAAGCAUCCCACCCCCCACCCCCCACCCAGGGGUGGUCCUUUGUGAUGUCUAAGCUCCCCGUGGCCACCAUUGGCUGUGGUGCGUGCCCUGCUGACCACACAAAGCAGAAGGGUGUGAGCCCUGUUGUCCUGGGACGGGUAUAUAUACAGAGAGCAGGACUCCUGGGGUAGACAACUGAGCAGCUGCAACAUGGCAAAAGUGGCGGAGAAAUCAUGGGUGCCAAGAACCAGGAACACCAAGCGGUGGAAGAAGAGGAAGAGCCCCUCUCGGUCCAGAUCAGGGGGCGCUAAAAAGGUGCCAAAGGUCUACAAGGUAAAAAGAUCACUUCAUGCAAAUUCAAGAAAGAAACACUCUCCUAAAGUCACGACCACUUCAAGAAGAAAGAAGAGAGCGAGAAGGGCCAGCAAGUUUCAGCCAUUGCUGUAGACUAAGAGCCACAAGCAGCCAGGCCCAGACCCAGUGGACCCUGCAAGCUACACCACUCCCAGACAAGACCAUGCAGCAGAACCUACAGAGCAAGCUUCAGAGACCUCGGACAGUCUUCAUCUAGAGACCUGGCUGCGGAUAAAUGGCCAACUGCGUAGAGACCGACUCAGACCUUAAUGUGGAAUUCGGAACACGAAUGGAGGUGAUUCAAAUAAAAUCAACAUGGUGGGAGAAGCCCCUCCACGAAAUAAAAGUAGGCACUCUGCACAGCAA